CUACACACUUAAACUGUUUUGGGUGCUAAAACUAAUUCUGUUGAUAUGUUUUUUUUAGUUUCUCGUGACAGGCCUCAAAUGAAGCAAUCAAGUGGAGAUUAUAGCAAAGUUCAAUUUGUAAUAGAAUUGGACGCAUACAAUCUCGUUGGAAGAAGAAGAAUGAAUAUAACUAAUGUAAGAAGAAGGGACAUGUGAUUUUUUGGUUGUCGACUCUUGCAAAAGAACAACAAGAAGAUCAAUAUGCAUUUUCACUAAUGGUUUGAGUGAAGAACAUGAC
rnacentral:lncRNA from 1 species